UACAGAGCCCACAACCGUUAAUCGGAAUCACUGGGCUUAAAGGGUGCGUAGGCGGGUUCGUAAGUGCUUUGUGAAAGCCCCAGGCUCAACCGAGGAACUGCAGGGCAUACAGCGAAUCUCGAGGAAUCUAGAGGCCGGCAGAACGAUAGGUGGAGCGGUGGAAUGCGUAGAGAUCUAUCGGAAUGCCAAAGGUGAAGGCAGCCGGCUGGGGAUUUCCUGACGAUGAGGCACGAAAGAGUGGGGAGCAAACAGG
rnacentral:rRNA from 1 species